AAGCGUCUAUAUAGUGGUCUUUCACGUAUCCACGAGAUUGAUCUUUGAGCUUUAUCUCCUGAGCAAUUCUUGAGCAUUACGAGCACUACAAACUCUCCACUGCACAAUAUCCAACCAUCUAUUCAGAGUAGAACCUGCAUUUUUCACUGCAGCUGAACGCCUGGUUUUGGGAUUUCUCUAACCAGCAGUUCUCUUGAAUUGUACUUCCCACCCAUCAACCCCAACCCACCCUUCCCUCCCCUCCCCAACCUCCCACCCACAAAAAAAAACAAA